rnacentral:rRNA from 1 species
GAUGAACGCUGGCGGCGUGCCUAAUACAUGCAAGUCGAGCGAACGGACGAGAAUCUUGCUUUUCUGAUGUUAGCGGCGGACGGGUGAGUAACACGUGGAUAACCUACCUAUAAGACUGGGAUAACUUCGUGAAACCGGAGCUAAUACCGGAUAAUAUUUUGAACCGCAUGGUUCAAAAGUGAAAGACGGUCUUGCUGUCACUUAUAGAUGGAUCCGCGCUGCAUUAGCUAGUUGGUAAGGUAACGGCUUACCAAGGCAACGAUGCAUAGCCGACCUGAGAGGGUGAUCGGCCACACUGGAACUGAGACACGGUCCAGACUCCUACGGGAGGCAGCAGUAGGGAAUCUUCCGCAAUGGGCGAAAGCCUGACGGAGCAACGCCGCGUGAGUGAUGAAGGUCUUCGGAUCGUAAAACUCUGUUAUUAGGGAAGAACAGAUGUGUAAGUAACUGUGCACAGCUUGACGGUACCUAAUCAGAAAGCCACGGCUAACUACGUG